rnacentral:tRNA from 1 species
AAUAUAGUGCCUGAUAAAAAGGGUAGUUUUGAUAGAACUAAUCAUGCAAUUUUUUGUCUAUAUUA